AUGUUGGCAAGUAAUUCAGUUUUUUUAAACCCCAUCCAGGCCAAACAAAACACAUCUGCUGGCCGGAUAUUGCCUGUGGGUGGCCCUCCAAUUUGCAAACUCUGGUCUAGACUGAAUAAUUCAAGGUUUGGGACCUGCACCCCUACUCCCAUCCUGCCCCGUAGCCUGAUGUCAGGACAGGCUCUCUCCCAGGUUGAUGGAUUUUGCAUGCUGCCAGCAAUUACCUUUGGAGUCUGAGCUUUUCUGAACAGAAUCCAAAUCCAUAAAGACAUUGAUAUAAUAAGAACUGUCUUCCCUGUUGGUGUGCCUGCCAUAUUUUCAGUGUCUUUUAAGGUAUGUAAUUAUUUCUAAUUAGGUUUUCAGAAGAAAAUUUCUUAAUAUAUGCUUUACUAGGUCAUCCUUAAAGAACCUUGUAACCAAUAUGAAAGGAGAAGAAUAGAAGGAAUUGGAUGUCAGGCAAACCUCAGAUUGGAUAUUUACUAGCUGGGUACUUUGGACAAAUUGCUUAGCAUUUCUGAAUCUCAAAAGAGGAAAAUAUAUACCUUACAGGGUUGCUGGAAAUUUAUGAGAUAAUAUUUAUAUAUCCCCAAAUAUUGUGCAUGAUGCAAAGCAGAUGUUCAGUAAAAGUAGCUAUUAUUUUCCUAGAAAUAGAGGGGAGAGCAUCUCAAGCUGAGAUAACUUCUCUACCAUUUCAUCAGACUAAAAUCCUUGCAGUUACUCUUCUUCCAACUAGAGCUGUUAUAUGUAACCAUUCAGAUUAUGCCCUGCACAAUCUCUGGGGCAGUCAUUGACAUUGCGGCCAAUGUGAACAGCGCUUUCAGGACUUGCGCAGUGUCCAAACUUUACAACUGUCCAAGGGCACUCUGCUUGCAACCAGGAUCCUAAAUUUAAAUCCUUUUAAAUCUUUGGUCUUUAGAUAAACAUGUGCUAUAUUCAUUCAUUAGGCUUUCCCCCAGUUGAGCUUUUUUCAGCAGUAUUUGUCAGAGGUUAGCAGAUGUCUUCCUUCAGGCCUAAUCUGGUCUGCAAGCUAUUUUUUGUACAUAAAGUUUUAUUGAACUAGAGUAAUACCUGUUCAUUUAUAUUGUCUACAGUUACUACUGGGCUACAGUAGCUCAGAAGAUUAGUUGCAAGAAAGACUCUAUGACCCACAAAGGCAAAAAUAUUUAGAUCUGGCUCUUAACUGGGAAAGUUUGUUGACCCUGGUGUUGAUGACUGUCUAGCCAAGUACCUAUUUAUCUUAAUUCCAAGGAAAGUUAAUGGCUGAUGCUUGUUUGUUUGUUUGUUUUUCUCUCACACCUCUUACUUUACUUGGCUGGGAGGUGGGUUAGAUGUUUUUCCUGAUCCUAGUUGCUACUUUCAGACCUUUCUUCUUUCCUGCCCCUAAUCCCUACAGCUCUGAAACUUUUUAUAUUUAUUUAUUUAUUUAUUUUUUCUUUUUAGGGCUGCACUCACAGCAUAUGGAAGUUCUCAGGCUAGGGGUUGAAUCAGAGCUGCAGCUGAGCCACAGCCAUAGCAACACCCGAUCCAAGAUGCCUCUGUGACCUAUGCUGCAGCUUGUGGCAGUGCUGGAUUCCUGAACCCACUGAGCGAAGCCAGGGAUUGAACCCACAUCCUCAUAGUUACUAGUUGGGUUCUUAACCCACUGAACCACAGUGGGAACUCCUGAAACUCAUGAUUUUAGAUUCUCUCAUCCACUCCCGCUUCAUGUGGCAGCCACGUACUGAUCCCUGAAAAUGUUAGCUACAGGCUCACUGUCACUCUCUCAGUAAUCUUCCCAACAUAAUUCUUGGUAGUUUUCAUAAUCAUUUUCAUAAAUGAUAUUUCCAUUAUCCUGACCACCUCUCAGAUCUUAGAUCACCUCCAGGGGUUUGCUUUUAUUCAACAAUCAACAGUAUCUUGAGUGGCAGACAGCCCUCUUCCACACUCAGCUACCAACUGCCAGGGUAAUCCCCAUCCCAGCCUUUGCCAACUAGAGUAAUCCCAUCCAAUCAGGCCUCCCUGCUCACUUCCUGUAGCUUUCUGACUUCAAUAAAUGCCAGACCCUUGGAUCUAGUCCACUGAUGCUCCCACCACCUUUUUCACUGUCCCUUGCUCCUUUCUGUCUUCAUGUCCCAGGCUGCCUAGCUUAAAUGCCAUGGCCUCUUGUUAGAAUUACUCUUUAGCAUGUGGUCUCAAGUGCCCCUGCCCCUUCACUGCUUCGUGAUGACCUUUCAGCAAAACCUGAGUCCUGACGAUGUCCAAUCCUGCACCAGACUGUCCCUGAGCACAAGAAUUUGACCGAAGAGACACGGACAGCUGUGCCCACUUUCAUUCAUGCCCUCUGACUCCAAGCGGAUAUCUCUAUUCCCUGGUCAUCUUACUCCAUGUCCCUCACUUCUACUCCCACUCCCAUAGAUAAUUUUUUCAUACCCUGUCAUGGCUCAUUGAAUCUCCAGCACCUCUACCCUAUUCUCUUUCUUCCUUUUUUUUUUUUUUUUUUUUGCUUUUUAGGGCCACAUCUGAGGCAUAUGGAAGUUCCUAGGCUAGGGGUCAAAUCAGAGCUACAGCUGCCAGCACACCACAGCCACAGCAACUCAGGAUCUGAGCCAUGUCUGUGACCUACACCACAGCUCACAACAACGCCAGAUCCUUAACCCACCGAGAAAGGCCAGGGAUGGAACCCACGUCCUUAUGGAUUCUAGUCAGGUUCGUUAACCGCUGAGCCAUGACGGGAACUCCCAUAUUCUCUUUCUUAACAAUCUUCCCCCAAUUUCACUCAAGAAGAGAAGCACUCAGAACAGUGUCCGCACAUCCCUGCCACCAGAGUUGGUUGCUUCUUUGCUGUAUAAACUGCCUUCCAGCUCAUUUAGGGUUCUGUGAUCUUUGCUAAGACCAACCUCUCCAUUUGUCCACCAGUUUCCAUCCCCUGCUGCCUAUUCAAAAUUAUUUAAAUUUUGAGUUCAAAGCUCCACAUUUCUCUCCCUCCCUUAGUACCUUAUUGACUCUUCUCAUUUUGUACAAGAAU
rnacentral:lncRNA from 9 species